GACGAACGCUGGCGGCGUGCCUAAUACAUGCAAGUAGAACGCACAGUUUAUACCGUAGCUUGCUACACCAUAGACUGUGAGUUGCGAACGGGUGAGUAACGCGUAGGUAACCUGCCUGGUAGCGGGGGAUAACUAUUGGAAACGAUAGCUAAUACCGCAUAAUAUUAAUUAUUGCAUGAUAAUUAAUUGAAAGGUGCAAUUGCACCACUACCAGAUGGACCUGCGUUGUAUUAGCUAGUAGGUGAGGUAACGGCUCACCUAGGCGACGAUACAUAGCCGACCUGAGAGGGUGAUCGGCCACACUGGGACUGAGACACGGCCCAGACUCCUACGGGAGGCAGCAGUAGGGAAUCUUCGGCAAUGGACGAAAGUCUGACCGAGCAACGCCGCGUGAGUGAAGAAGGUUUUCGGAUCGUAAAGCUCUGUUGUAAGAGAAGAACGGGUGUGAGAGUGGAAAGUUCACACUGUGACGG
rnacentral:rRNA from 1 species